UACAGAGGGGGCAAGCGUUAUUCGGAAUUAUUGGGCGUAAAGGGCGCGUAGGCGGCUUUGCAAGUGACGGGUGAAAUCCCUCGGCUUAACCGAGGAACUGCCUGUCAAACUGCAUGGCUUGAGACCGGGAGAGGUGAGUGGAAUUCCCAGUGUAGCGGUGAAAUGCGUAGAUAUCGGAAGGAACAUCGGUGGCGAAAGCGGCGACGCUGGACCUCUUCUGACGCUGAGGCGCGAAAGCCAGGGGAGCAAGCGGG
rnacentral:rRNA from 1 species